rnacentral:rRNA from 1 species
AGAAUCAACGCUGGCGGCGUGCCUAACACAUGCAAGUCGAACGAGAAAGUGGAGCAAUCCAUGAGUAAAGUGGCGCACGGGUGAGUAACACGUGACUAACCUACCCUUGAGUGGGGGAUAACCUAGAGAAAUCUGGGCUAAUACCGCAUAAUACCUUCGGGUCAAAGGAGCAAUUCGCUUAAGGAGGGGGCCGCGGCCGAUUAGUUAGUUGGCGGGGUAAUGGCCCACCAAGACUAUGAUCGGUA